rnacentral:pre_miRNA from 1 species
UCUUAUGGACGAGCAGAGAAAGCGGUUUCUUGAGAAGGAGUCUACUCCUGGUGAAGAUGCUGUGAA